UACGAAGGGGGCUAGCGUUGUUCGGAAUUACUGGGCGUAAAGGGCGCGUAGGCUGUGCUGUAAGUCAGGCGUGAAAGCCCCGGGCUCAACCUGGGAAUUGCGCUUGAUACUGCGGCGCUGGAAGGUGGGAGAGGAUGGCGGAAUUCCCAGUGUAGAGGUGAAAUUCGUAGAUAUUGGGAAGAACACCGGUGGCGAAGGCGGCCAUCUGGCCCACAAUUGACGCUGAGGCGCGAAAGCGUGGGGAGCAAACAAG
rnacentral:rRNA from 1 species